GAGCUCUUCGCUCCCAAAACAAGAAGAAGAUAGUUCGGAAUCACUCAAAGAGAUCGCGCAGAAAGGAUCUUGUGGCCCACUGUGCAUGUGGAAUACCGGGAAUACCUGCAAAUGGACUAGGGAGUCGUCGAAUCGAAGGGAACUCAAGAUGUGAGAGCCAUUCUCCCCAGAUCGAUUCGGAUUUGGCGAGUGCGAAAGAGCGGAGAAAGCUCAAGAGAGCGCGGAGAUGGAGAUAGCCGGUGCCCGGGGCUUCGGAUCGUCGGGGACAAUGAUAGUGUUGAUAACAAGUGCUUUGCUCUGGAUAUGGGAAUGGGAAUCUUCUCCGACACCGAAAGCCGUGCACUGCAGGAAAUUCCAUUUGGAAGUUUUCAGAUCCUUUCUUAUAUGAUUACCUACCUUACAGGAUUUAAGGGUUUUUGAGCUUUUGAUACAAUCAUAAUGUUAAAAAAUAUAUGUAUUAAAUAUUUUAUAUCUUUCAACUACGUUUUUAGGCCCACUGUGCGCCUGCGCAGCUUCACGCUCGUAAAAAGCACAACUCACGAUCAUCGGAGAUCUACGGGUUCCACAGUAAAAUGUAGAGCAAUACUGACCAUGACACUUAGGAUUUUGUACCAUGAAAUGACGUGUAAAUAAAUUGAUAAAUAAGUUGAAAAGGUUUAA
rnacentral:misc_RNA from 1 species